rnacentral:rRNA from 1 species
AGUGGGAGUACUCCUUCUAAGCUAAAUAUACCCAUGAGACCGAUAUCAGACAAGUACCGUGAGGGAAAGUUGAAAAGCACUCUGAAUAGAGAGUCAAAUAGUACGUGAAACCACCUAGGAUAUUAUAAACCUAUGGAACCUGGUAGAACCGGGGCAGAGAUAUUCAACUGUGUGUGGGGUGCGCUCAUCCGUGGGCGCGCACUGCCGCAGGGCACUUAUCUUCUGCCAUAUACCGGCGUCGCGAUCCUUUACCAAUUAUGCUCGAUUGGUGGUGCGCAAGCGCCGCCAUGAAUAUUCGGCCGCUAUGGUCCCAGGCUCGCACUGGCGUCCCCCAAGUAGUGUCACUCAGCUAUGAAGCCGGUGACGCAAACGGGGGGUCGAGGCUCCGGCCUCGUGUUCGGUCGAGUUACGGUGCACCGGUCGGAUAGGUGAUGGGAUGAUCGACAACUAGGCGGAAGCAAUUCUUGUCUUGUUUAGAUCUGCGAUGUGAAAUAUUGCUGGUGAACCCAUGGGACCCGUCUUGAAACACGGAAAAA